UACGUAGGAGACGAGCGUUGUCCGGAGUUACUGGGCGUAAAGGGUGCGCAGGUGGCGGCGCGCGUGGGGGGUGAAAUCGCCCGGCUUAACUGGGCGGGGGCCUUCCAGACGGCGUGGCUUGAGCAGCGGAGGGGGACGUGGAAUUCCUGGUGUAGCGGUGAAAUGCGCAGAUAUCAGGAGGAACACCGGUGGCGAAGGCGGUUCUCUGGGAAUGUCCUGACGGCUGAGGAGCGAAAGUGUGGGGAGCGAACAGG
rnacentral:rRNA from 1 species